GCGGGCGUAGCUCAGUUGGUAGAGCACAACCUUGCCAUGGUUGGGGUCGCGGGUUCGAGUCCCGUCGCCCGCU
rnacentral:tRNA from 1 species